ACGCCCGCGCAUUUCGAACUCGGACCACGUGGGUGGAAGUAAAGGCCCAGUUCCACUGAACUACCACCUCAGAGGUAUUUUUUUUUCCUAUUGUUUUAUUUGCAAAGACUCCUGCCUUGGUUUGCGCCGUUUAGAAUGAGAAGGUGUCGACGAUGGGGCGACGGUGUACCCCCGAAAGCUAGACGAUUUUAGCCUUAGCCAAAUGUUUGCAUGGGAUAGAUAUGAGAACGAAUCACCGCCCCUAACAAAAUCCCAACAACACCGUACCUUGGCAUUAGCUCGAAUCAAUCUCGGUCAAAAUCUGGGUGUCUGUUCCGUAGGACACCCUCUUCUCAAAUUGUUUUUUUUUUUUUUUGUAAAUCCCUCAUGCUCGCUUUACUCAAGAUUGAUAUAAUUCACCCAGCUCAUGAAAAAAUAUGCGUACUGUCAUGAUGCCCGCAAUAUGAAAGUGGAGCUUUUACGAUCCUUGGGCAUCUGGGAGACAGCAGAGGUCCCCUUUUUCAUCGUCGAGCUUUUGAAAUUGCCAUAACCGACCUUCAACAUUAACGCUGAUGCUACUAUUACGAGCGCGCAGGAGUUUAUAAUGCGGGGUACUUGGGACUAUCAUGCAAUGGUACAGCAAAGUGGCAGCGGAUCUAGUUACUAGGAUGCCGUUGCCGAGGUCCGGUGAACGGAAUUCUUGCGUCUGAAUGCCGCAUCCGCAGGUACAGACGAUGCUAUCUCAGUCUACAGAUUCUACAGAUUAUGGCAUUUACCCUAUUUCUGGAGUUAUGAAUAUUUGGUAAAAAUUUUAAAAAACUGUUUUAGCUUUUUCAGAAAUCUAAAAAUAGCUUUUUAUAAGAAGCUUCAUUUUGAAGCUUUUCGAAAAAACUAUUUUGAAAAGUUAUUUUUUAACCAAAAUAUCUAUAAUAAAAUAUAACAAUUACAUAUUUUAUCACUUUAUAAAUCUAAAAAUCUGUUGAAGUCCUAAUAAUUAUAAUAUUUUAUACCUUUAUUAUUGUAUUAUACUAUAAAUAUAAUAUUAUAUUACAUUCUACGAUAAUACAUUGAUAUGUUAUGUUAAAUAGUUUAAUUAUUAAAUUAUUAUGCUACGGUAUACAAUAUUAUAUUACUAUAUUAUAAUAAUAUUAUAUUACAUUACCAUAAUAUUAUACUAUAUUAUAUAUUUACGUAUUAAUAUAUGUUAUAUUUUAUUAUGCUCUGUUGUAUAAUACUAUGCAAUGUUUUUUAUAGUAAUUUUGUCAUACAAAAGUACUUCAGCAGUUUGUUUAUGUGUUAAAGUGCCACAAUACUUUAAAAAUAUAGUUACCAAAUAGCAAAUAGCUUUUUAUAAAAGCUCUACUUCAGAAAGUUCUACUUCUAAUAGCUCUACUUUCAAAAACUCUACUGCCAACAACUCUUCCAAACAAAACCUAAAUAUUUAUCUGAAAAGACUUGUGGCGACGAUUGUUUGCUCACGCUCACUUGCAUACAUCACCGGAUGCUACUUGCUCUGCUUGUGGUUUACAUGUUGAAGCCAUUAGACACCAUUUUUUGGGCGCGGUCAUGCUAGAUUUGUGUGGGUAGAAAAACGUAUCAUUUCCUUUUCGAGUUGAUGGAGGGGGGCUUGGCUCACAGCAAUACAAUUGAAUCGGCUUCCAUGUAUGGCAUUUUAUGCUGCAAUAAUGCGGUAUAUAUGGAAAAAUCGGAAGGUCUUCCGAUUUUUAGUAAUCAACUCGUUAACACAUCGUUCAUCGUGCAUUGGUCAUCAUUGCUUAUGCUACCGAUCUGAGUCAAGAGCAUGCGAGCCUCUCAAGUGCUGUUAGCCGACACCAUGACCUCCCUGACCGAAGACUGGCCUUAUGUAAAGCUCCACCACGUAGUUUAAUGCCUGCACACGAACUGUACCUGAAGAGAGUCCUUUUUCUUAGCACAAACUUGGUCUUGUGAAAGGUUCUACCUGUAUGUACCAAAAAAGGGUUCUACUUAUUAUUAACGAUCUUGGUGUUUCUAGACUUGAUCAAAAGUACUUCUCUCAAACGGGCUAAGGUCUGAUCAAAAGCAAUUCUCUCAAACAGAAGAAGCGCUAAUCAAAAGCGAUUCUCUCAAACAGGCUAAGCGCAAAUCAAAAGCGAUUCUCUCAAACAGGCUAAGCGCAAAUCAAAAGUGAUUCUCUCAAACGGGCUAAGCGCAUUCCUUGAGUUCUCAAGCCUCAAACCUCUUGUUUGGCGUUUAUAUAGUUGGGCUUACACUACGUUUGAGUGAAUCUCCACUAUCUAUGACUCAAAGCUUUGAAUAUGAUCUACCAUCUAUAAACAACUUAUCUAUUAAAAAUCAUUUAUACAACAAAUAAUCAAAAAAUUAAAUAAUUUAAUUAAUAUAAAAUUAUAUAUAUAUAUAUAGGGAAUUGAUAACCUACUCUAACAUAGAGUAGGUUAUCAAUCCCCAUAUAUAUAUACAUAUAUAUAUAUAUAUAUAUACAUAUAUACAUAUACAUAUAUACAUAUAUACAUAUACAUAUAUACAUAUACAUAUAUACAUAUAUAUAUAUAUAUAUAGACACUACUUAAGGUAUAAAUUACGGAUUUCAAAAUCAUAUAAUUUUGAUAAUGUAAGCACACACGUAACAACUUGAGUUGUCACGAGGUAGAACACCACCAUCCAAUCUCGACUUGCUCAUACCCGAAGAUCUACUCGAAUAUAACCAAGUCUAAUUCUCUCCAUAUGCAUAUUAAUUAAAAAACCUAAUAGACCCAUAGACCAACCGUAGUCAAAAGGGGAGAUACAUCUGACAUGGACUCACAACCGGAUAAAUAUUUAACAGCAACAUCAACACAAAAAUCAUAAUUUGCUGUUGAAAGUAAACAACUAGUAUAACCGAGCAGACUGAAACCACAACAUUCCCAAUGCAGCAUGAGAAAACAACAGUUGAAAUUUAAUCAGGUAUAAUCUUUCUACCGUUUGGCACCGGCCACAGUU
rnacentral:lncRNA from 1 species